AUCGAGUCCCAAAUAGGACGAAACGCGCGUCCUGGAU
rfam:Schistosoma mansoni strain Puerto Rico chromosome 1, complete genome